CAGCGAUCUUCCAGCGCCUUUCGGUCAGGAGGGGUCCCCUCCACCUAGACCUCUUCGCGUCACGCAACAACAGGCAGACAGACGAGUACUUCAGCUGGCUCCCAGACCCAGAGAGCAAAGCAGUAGAUGCGUUUCUCCAACCUUGGCCACCCUCGGGGGCGUACGCCUUUCCCCCAUUCGCCAUGGUAGCCAGGACGAUGCAAUACCUGAAGACCCAGCGCAGAUCCAUGCUCCUCAUCUCACCCCUAUGGCAGGGUCAACCAUGGUUUCCGGACCUUCUAGCAUCAUCCUACAGAGAUCCCCUCCUCAUACAGUCCUAUCCGACGCUCCUUACGGACCCGAGAGGGAAUCAACACCCGCUCAUCCUGGAAGACCGUCUCACGCUGGUGGCUUGGACGCUUCCAGGGGAGCCUGGCAAACCGAAGAGUUAUCGCAAACAUCUCGAGAUCUCCUAUGGGACUCAUGGGCACCAGGAACCAGACGAUGUUACUUAUCGGCAUGGAGCUCCUGGGCUACUUGGUGCAGUGAGCGGAAUUUUGAUCCCUUUACGGCACCUAUAACAGCC